rnacentral:rRNA from 1 species
CGCAUACCCAGGGCGGGAGUCCUACCGUGCGAGUCGAGCGGUAACAGGGGUAGCUUGCUACCCGCUGACGAGCGGCGGACGGGUGAGUAAUGCGUAGGAAUCUGCCCGAUAGUGGGGGAUAACCUGGGGAAACCCAGGCUAAUACCGCAUACGUCCUACGGGAGAAAGGGGGCUCCGGCUCCCGCUAUUGGAUGAGCCUAUGUCGGAUUAGCUAGUUGGUAAGGUAAUGGCUUACCAAGGCAACGAUCCGUAGCUGGUCUGAGAGGAUGAUCAGCCACAUCGGGACUGAGACACGGCCCGAACUCCUACGGGAGGCAGCAGUGGGGAAUAUUGGACAAUGGGGGCAACCCUGAUCCAGCCAUGCCGCGUGUGUGAAGAAGGCCCUCGGGUUGUAAAGCACUUUCAGCGAGGAAGAACGCCUAUCGGUUAAUACCCGGUAGGAAAGACAUCACUCGCAGAAGAAGCACCGGCUAACUCCGUGCCAGCAGCCGCGGUAAUACGGAGGGUGCAAGCGUUAAUCGGAAUUACUGGGCGUAAAGCGCGCGUAGGUGGCUUGAUAAGCCGGUUGUGAAAGCCCCGGGCUCAACCUGGGAACGGCAUCCGGAACUGUCAGGCUAGAGUGCAGGAGAGGAAGGUAGAAUUCCCGGUGUAGCGGUGAAAUGCGUACAGAUCGGGAGGAAUACCAGUGGCGAAGGCGGCCUUCUGGACUGACACUGACACUGAGGUGCGAAAGCGUGGGUACCAAACAGGAUUAAAUCCUCUGGUAUUCAUC